rnacentral:rRNA from 1 species
GGGGAUAUUGGACAAUGGGGGAAACCCUGAUCCAGCGAUGCCGCGUGAGGGAAGAAGGUUUUCGGAUUGUAAACCUCUGUGGACAGGGACGAUAAUGACGGUACCUGUCAAGAAAGCCACGGCUAACUACGUGCCAGCAGCCGCGGUAAUACGUAGGUGGCGAGCGUUGUCCGGAAUUACUGGGUGUAAAGGGAGUGUAGGCGGGAAGGCAAGUCAGAAGUGAAAAUUAUGGGCUCAACCCAUAACCUGCUUUUGAAACUGUUUUUCUUGAGUGAAGCAGAGGCAAGCGGAAUUCCUAGUGUAGCGGUGAAAUGCGUAGAUAUUAGGAGGAACACCAGUGGCGAAGGCGGCUUGCUGGGCUUUUACUGACGCUGAGGCUCGAAAGCGUGGGGAGCAAAC